rnacentral:lncRNA from 1 species
ACAACGUUGCAUCAUAAUGAGAUGAAAACUGACAAGAUAACAUGCAUAACCUAGAGCUAGAGGUAUAAUGGUUAAAUUACAUGUAAUCAAUGCACCCCUUAGCUUAGCAUACACAUCACCCAUGCGUUUAUGUUCCGCCAAGAAUGCCCUCCUUUCCCUCUCACUCUCCCGAACUAGUGGCAUGAUUGUAGUACCUGAACCUGCAAGAUGAAAAAGAGUGGAACUAAAUGAAUUGCAAAAUACUUACUAGCAUGUGUCAUAAAACUAACUAAAUGAAUUCCACUUCAACUCGUUUGGAAUUGGACCUUAGACAAUGCAACAAUUUUUCAUGCGCAUAUGUACUUUCCUAAGACAAACAUGAAUGUAAUAAAGUAGCAAAAUUCGCACGCAAAUACAUGUUUGUCGUUGCAUUGAUGGUAAAAAUUAACAAAACAGAUUAUGUAAUGUAGUACUUUAAAUAAGCAUUUCACGUAAUAUUGUAUUAACAAGAAAUGAAGGUUUGAACGCUUUGGGGUCUAACGAGUGUACCAAGUAGCAUAGAAGACCCAGCCAGCAAGCCUAUGAAAACAAGAUGAGAAAAUUCAGAAGAGAAAAAUGGCAAAACUUAAGAUUACUAUAGGUGAUACGCAAGUGCUUGACUAGAAAGAUUACUUACAAAAACUUGCCAAUAAUGGUAGCAAAGAUUUACUAGUACAUUAUGAAGCUAUUUACUCAAUCAAGCAAUUUAAUUU